rnacentral:rRNA from 1 species
UGGGGAAUAUUGGACAAUGGGGGAAACCCUGAUCCAGCGACGCCGCGUGGGUGAAGAAGGCCUGCGGGUUGUAAAGCCCUUUCGGUUGGGAAGAAAAGUUGCGACCUAACACGUCGCGACCUUGACGUAACCAACUAAAGAAGCACCGGCUAACUCUGUGCCAGCAGCCGCGGUAAUACAGAGGGUGCGAGCGUUAAUCGGAACUACUGGGCGUAAAGCGCGCGUAGGCGGCUUGGCAAGUCGGGUGUGAAAUCCCCGGGCUCAACCUGGGAACUGCAUUCGAGACUGCUUUGCUAGAGUAUGGGAGAGGGAAGUGGAAUUUCCGGUGUAGCGGUGAAAUGCGUAGAUAUCGGAAGGAACAUCAGUGGCGAAAGCGACUUCCUGGACCAAUACUGACGCUCAUGUGCGAAAGCGUGGGGAGCAAACA